rnacentral:rRNA from 1 species
UACGAAGGGGGCUAGCGUUGCUCGGAAUUACUGGGCGUAAAGGGCGCGUAGGCGGCCUUCUAAGUCGAACGUGAAAUCCCCGGGCUCAACCCGGGAACUGCGUCCGAUACUGGGAGGCUUGAAUCCGGGAGAGGGAUGUGGAAUUCCAGGUGUAGCGGUGAAAUGCGUAGAUAUCUGGAGGAACACCGAUGGCGAAGGCAGCCCCCUGGGCUAACACUGACGCUGAUGCACGAAAGCGUGGGGAGCAAACAGG